AACGAACGCUGGCGGCAGGCUUAACACAUGCAAGUCGAACGAGAAAUUACCUUCGGGUAAUAGAAAGUGGCAAACGGGUGAGUAAUGCAUGAGAACAUACCUUGAAGUUUGGGAUAGCCCCGGGAAACUGGGAUUAAUACCGAAUACGCUCUACGGAGGAAAGUUUUUUCGCUUCAAGAUUGGCUCAUGUUAGAUUAGUUUGUUGGUAGGGUAAAGGCCUACCAAGACUACGAUCUAUAGCUGGUCUGAGAGGAUGAUCAGCCACACUGGAACUGCGACACGGUCCAGACUCCUACGGGAGGCAGCAGUGGGGAAUAUUGCACAAUGGAGGAAACUCUGAUGCAGCCAUGCCGCGUGAGUGAUGAAGGCCCUAGGGUUGUAAAGCUCUUUCAAUAAUGAAGAUAGUGACAUUAGUUAUAGAAGAAGCUCCGGCUAACUUCG
rnacentral:rRNA from 1 species